rnacentral:lncRNA from 1 species
UCGAUGAGAACAGUGGUCGGUUGUUGUUUGAGAAGGCCUCCAACUUUCAACGUUUCCGGGUUUGAGUAGCCGGCUAGUGCAUGUAUCGUAACUUCAGUUGGUUGUGGAUCUUCUUCUGCAUCUUCUUUUUCAUGUUCAAGGCUCUCUUCUGGAUGUUCAAUGACCUCUUCUUCUAUUGGUUCAAUCAUAAGAAGUCUCCCUUUACUACAGCGAUGCUCACGGCUCCACGGCUCGUCACAAUGCCAACAUAACCCCUUCGCAUAUCGCUCCCGAAGCUCUUCUCUUGUUAACCUCUUUGGUGUAGG